GAGCUAAUACAUGCAAAAAACCUCGACUUCGGGAGAGGUGUAUUUAUUAGAUAAAAAACCAAUGCCCUUCGGGGCUCCUUGGUGAUUCAUAAUAACUUAACGGAUCGCAUGGCCUUGCGCCGGCGACGGUUCAUUCAAAUUUCUGCCCUAUCAACUUUCGAUGGUAAGGUAUUGGCUUACCAUGGUAUCAACGGGUAACGGAUUUUUAGGGAAAGAUCCCGGAGAGGGGGCCCGAGAAACGGCCACCACAUCCAAGGAAGGCAGCAGGCGCGCAAAUUACCCAAUCCCGACACGGGGAGGUAGUGACAAUAAAUACUGAUACAGGGCUCUUUUGGGUCUUGUAAUCGGAAUGAGUACAAUUUAAAUACCUUAACGAGGAACAAUUGGAGGGCAAGUCUGGUGCCAGCAGCCGCGGUAAUUCCAGCUCCAAUAGCGUAUAUUAAAGUUGUUGCAGUUAAAAAGCUCGUAGUUGAACCUUGGGCCUGGCUGGCCGGUCCGCCUCACCGCGUGUACUGGACCGGCCGGGCCUUUCCUUCUGGAGAACCGCAUGCCCUUCACUGGGUGUGUCGGGGAACCAGGACUUUUACUUUGAGAAAAUUAGAGUGUUCAAAGCAGGCCUUUGCUCGAAUACGUUAGCAUGGAAUAAUAGAAUAGGACGUGCGGUCCUAUUUUGUUGGUUUCUAGAACCGCCGUAAUGAUUAAUAGGGAUAGUCGGGGGCGUCAGUAUUCAAUUGUCAGAGGUGAAAUUCUUGGAUCUAUUGAAGACUAACUACUGCGAAAGCAUUCGCCAAGGAUGUUUUCAUUAAUCAGUGAACGAAAGUUAGGGGAUCGAAGACGAUCAGAUACCGUCGUAGUCUUAACCGUAAACUAUGCCGACUAGGGAUCGGGSGRUGUUUCUAUAUUGACUCGCU
rnacentral:rRNA from 1 species